UCCGGUUGCAGUUCUAGCUCUUAUACUCAAUCAUUCCGAUGUAUUCCUAUUUUUACUGUUUUUAGUUAUGUUUUAGAUAUAGGAUUUUAAGUCUUUUUGUUAUGUUUAGAAUGUUUUUAGAGUCUUUUCGGGUAUUUUAUGGAGAGGGACAACAUUGGAGAUGAGGAGACAUUUUGGAGCAAAAGCUAAGGAAAAGAAGCUAAAGGACGAAUUCACUUUCAGAAUCAGUCGAGAGUGUCGAUCAACACACGCUUGGUUUUGAUCGACACCAAUUGCGGCCCAGAGAAGUCCAUCACGCUUUUAAGUUUGAA
rnacentral:sRNA from 1 species